AUUGAACGCUGGCGGCAGGCCUAACACAUGCAAGUCGAACGAGUGGCGGACGGGUGGGUGAUGUAUGGGCACCUGCCUGAUGUAGGGGGCUAACUACUGUAAACGGUGGCUAAUACCGCAUACGAUCCUAUCGGCCCAGGUGGGAUUAUCUUGUUGGUGGGGUAACGGCUCACCAAGGCGACGAUCCCUAGCUGGUCUGAGAGGAUGACCGGCCACACUGGAACUGAGACACGGUCCAGACUCCUACGGGAGGCAGCAGUGGGGAAUAUUGCACAAUGGGCGCAAGCCUGACGGAGCCAUGCCGCGUGUAUGAAGAAGGCCUUCGGGUUGUAAAGUACUUUCAGCGGGGAGGCGGUACCCGAAGAAGAAGCACCGGCUAACUCCGUGCCAGCAGCCGCGGUAAUUC
rnacentral:rRNA from 1 species